rnacentral:misc_RNA from 1 species
AAGAGACGUUGCCCUUCGGGGUAUACCUCCCACCCUUUGUUUAUUAUACCUUUGUUGCUUUGGCGGGCCCGUCCUCGGACCACUGGCUUCUGCUAGUCAGUGCCCGCCAGAGGACCUAAAACUCUGUUUGUUAAUAUUGUCUAAGUACUAUAUAAUAGUUA